rnacentral:rRNA from 1 species
GGUUGAUCCUGCCAGUAGUCAUAUGCUUGUCCCAAAGAUUAAGCCAUGCAUGUCUAAGUAUAAACACGUUGUACUGUGAAACUGCGAAUGGCUCAUUAUAUCAGUUAUAAUUUACUUGAUAGUCUCUUACUACUUGGAUAACCGUGGUAAUUCUAGAGCUAAUACAUGCAAAAAGUCCAACUCACGAAGGACUGUAUUUAUUAGAUUAAAAACCAACUUGCUUGGUGAUUCAUAAUAACUGUGCGGAUCGCACGGCCUUGCGCCGGCGACAUUUCAUUCAAAUUUCUGCCCU